AUUAUGUCAACAAUCAACUCGAAUCACGCUACAUUAAGGUGUGCCAAGCUCGUCAACGUAACAAAACCCUCUUUUGUCAGUUGUAAGUUAGCCAUUUCAUCGUCUUAGAAAUCUAUCUCUAUCUGGUGCAUCUGUAUAGCAAACAGCCAACAAGAAUGAACCGUAAACUUGUGUCUUUGUUGUUAUUGCUCAUCGUACUCACGACCAUUCAUGAGUGUGAUGCCUGGAGAAGAAGAAGAACAAGCAGCCUGAACUCACCAUCCGCUCAGCAGAAGAACAAAUUAAGGAGCACCGUUUUGUYUGAAGACAAUCUUGRGAAAUCAGAUGAUGGYAGAGAUGACGUGAAAAUCAAUGACGAUUUUAAAGAGGACGAGUAAAAMAGAUUUAAAAAUCGAAUUUUAUUAACGGGUUUGGUUUUUAUUGUAAUCGAGAMGAACUGAAUAAACUAGACGCUCRGUGAGCGCUUG